CAUGAAGUGAAACAAUGCUUCAUGCUCAGUCCUGUGAUUUUGUGUAUUUAUUGGACUUACUUUGAAAUUAAACUAAAUGAUACUCAAAGUACAGCAUGAGAAAAAUGAAAAAACAGGCUAUGGUGUUUGAAAAACAAACAAAACCGUUUGGUUUGUUGGUUUGUUCUUAGACCUUCACAGGCUCCUAGGUCACACGUUUCAGUUUCUCAGCGAGUGACAUUCUCUGCGGAAUGUCAGCCUCUUGUUUGUUGAUGUCAGCCACAGCAGAAAGAAGCACUCCAUAGGCCCUGUGCUCAGCACCUUGGCGUGAGCUCUUGCAAUCUUCUGUUCAUCCUCAUCACAGCUCUGUGCAGUGGGCGUCCUCCUGAUCCCGGUGGGAGGAUGGAGGAUGGAGGCGGAACGUGCUCAGGAGGCUGAUGCCACAUAGAAGACCUGCAGGUCGAUGGAUGUGAAACAGGCAUCGGACACGCUGUGCACCUUGGGAUGCAUCUGAGAAGUACGUGCUUGCAGCAGGUCUGAGAUUCUGUGGCCAAAAACUUACCCGUGGACAUUGAGGGUGAUGCACUUCUGCUCCAAGACGUCUGUGGACUCAGCUAGAUGGAUGGAAAGGAUAUGGA